rnacentral:rRNA from 1 species
AAAGCGUGCGCAGGCGGUUGUGUAAGUCAGAUGUGAAAUCCCCGGGCUCAACCUGGGAAUUGCAUUUGAGACUGCACGGCUAGAGUGUGUCAGAGGGGGGUAGAAUUCCACGUGUAGCAGUGAAAUGCGUAGAUAUGUGGAGGAAUACCGAUGGCGAAGGCAGCCCCCUGGGAUAACACUGACGCUCAUGCACGAAAGCGUGGGGAGCAAACAGGAUUAGAUACCCUGGU